rnacentral:rRNA from 1 species
UACAGAGGGGGCAAGCGUUGUUCGGAAUUACUGGGCGUAAAGGGCGCGUAGGCGGCCUUCUAAGUUGAACGUGAAAUCCCCGGGCUCAACCCGGGAACUGCGUCCAAGACUGGGAGGCUAGAAUCCGGGAGAGGGAUGUGGAAUUCCAGGUGUAGCGGUGAAAUGCGUAGAUAUCCGGAAGAACACCGGUGGCGAAGGCGGUCUGCUGGGCAGUUGCUGACACUGAGGCGCGACAGCGUGGGGAGCAAACAGG